AUUGAACGCUGGCGGCAGGCUUAACACAUGCAAGUCGAGCGGGGUAUGGUAGCUUGCUACCUGACCUAGCGGCGGACGGGUGAGUAAUGCUUAGGAAUCUGCCUAUUAGUGGGGGACAACAUUUCGAAAGGGAUGCUAAUACCGCAUACGCCCUACGGGGGAAAGCAGGGGAUCAUUUGACCUUGCGCUAAUAGAUGAGCCUAAGUCGGAUUAGCUAGUUGGUGGGGUAAAGGCCUACCAAGGCGACGGUCUGUAGCGGGUCUGAGAGGAUGAUCCGCCACACUGGGACUGAGACACGGCCCAGACUCCUACGGGAGGCAGCAGUGGGGAAUAUUGGACAAUGGGGGGAACCCUGAUCCAGCCAUGCCGCGUGUGUGAAGAAGGCCUUUUGGUUGUAAAGCACUUUAAGCGAGGAGGAGGCGCUCUUGGUUAAUACCUGAGAAGAGUGGACGUUACUCGCAGAAUAAGCACCGGCUAACUCUGUGCCAGCCGCCGCAGUAAUAC
rnacentral:rRNA from 1 species